rnacentral:rRNA from 1 species
AUUUGUACGUUAGCGACAGAAGAAGCACCGGCUAACUCCGUGCCAGCAGCCGCGGUAAUACGGAGGGUGCGAGCGUUAAUCGGAAUUACUGGGCGUAAAGCGCAUGCAGGUGGUUUGUUAAGUUCAGAUGUGAAAGACCCGGGGCGUCAACCUCGGAAUAGCAUUUGUAAACUAGGCAGACUAGAGUACUGUAGAGGGGGGUAGGAAGUUUCAGGUGUAGCGGUGAAAUAGCGUAGAGAUCUGAAGGAAUACCGGUGGCGAAGGCGGCCCCCUCGGACAGAUACUGACACUCAGAUGCGAAAGCGUGGGGAGCAAACAGGAUUAGAUACCCCUGGUAG